rnacentral:rRNA from 1 species
AGUUUGAUCCUGACUCAGAUUGAACGCUGGCGGGAUGCUUUGCAUGCAAGUCGAACGGCAGCACGGACUUCGGUCUGGUGGCAUUGGCGAACAGGUGAGUAAUGUAUCAGGAACGUGCUAGUAGCGGGGGAUAACUACGCGAAAGCGUAGCUAAUACCACAUACGCCCUUCGAGCGGGGGACCGGGCCUCGCCUUCGUAGAGCAGCCGAUAUCGGAUUAGCUAGUUGAAUUUGGCAGGUAACGGCUCACCAAAGGCGACGAUCCGUAAACUGGUUUGAGAGGACGACCGGCCACGCAAAGGACUGAGACACGGCCCAGACUCCUACGGGAGGCAGCAGUGGGGGUACCCGGACAGUAGGGGGAAACCUGAUCCAGCCAUCCCGCGUGUGCGAUGAAGGCCUUCGGGUUGUAAAGCACUUUUGGCAGGAAAAACGGUGCAGGAUAAUACGUGCAACUGACGGUACCUGCAGAAUAAGCACCGGCUUAACUACGUGCCAGCAGCCGCGGUAAUACGUAGGGCGCAAGCGUUAAUCGGAAUUACUGGGCGUAAAGCGUGCGCAGCGGUUCGGAAAAGAAAGAUGUGAAAUCCCAGAGCUUAACUUUCAGAACUGCGUUUUUAACUACCGAGAACUGGUGUGUCAGAGGGAGGUGGAAUUCCGCGUGUAGCAGUGAAAUGCGUAGAUAUGCCGGAGGAACACCGAUGGCGAGCAGCCUCCUGGGAUAACACUGACGCUCAUGCACGAAAGCGUGGGGAGCAAACAGGAUUAGAUACCCUCAGCUAGUCACUAUAAACGAUAAUGUCAACUAGCUGUUGGGGCCUUCGGGCCUUGGUAGCGCAGCUAACGCGUGAAGUUGACCGCCUGGGGAACCACGGUCCUGAAUUAAAACUCAAAGGAAUUGACGGGGACGCACAAGCGGUAAUUGGAUGAUGUGGAUUAAUUCGAUGCAACGCGAAAAACCUUACCACUACCCUUGACAUGUCUGGAAUCCCGAAGAGAUUUAAAGGUGCUCGCAAGAGGGCCGAACACAGGUGCUGCAUGGCUGUCAAUGUCGAUAUUCGUGAGAUGUUGGGUUAAGUCCCGCAACGGGGCGCAGCCCUUGUCAUUAGUUGCUACGAAAGGGCACUCUAAUGAGACUGCCGGUGACAAACCGGAGGAAGGUGAGGAUGACGUCAAGUCCUCCCUUGGCCCAUAUGGGUAGGGCUUCACACGUCAUACAAUGGUCGGGACAGAGGGUCGCCAACCCGCGAGGGGGGAGCCAAUCCCAGAAACCCGAUCGUAGUCCGGAUCGCAGUCUGCAGCCUUCGACUGCGUGAAGUCGAAUCAUAAUAAUCGCGGAUCAACAUGUCGCGGUGAAUACGUUCCCGGGUCUUGUACACACCGCCCGUCACACCAUGGAGUGGUUUACCAGAAGUAGUUAGCUAACCGUAAGGAGGGCGAUUACCACGUGCAGUUCAUGACUGAGGUGAAGUCGCUCAGGUAG